rnacentral:tRNA from 1 species
GGGUAAUUAGUUUAAGAAAAACAUUUGAUUUCGGCUCAAAAAACUGCAGUUAAACUCUGCAAUAACCCU